UAUCCCCCCAGGACCUGCUCCGGGCCGUCAGUGGGACCUUCAUCUUCCUCGUGGUUGCCCUGGUGGCCUUGGCCUCGUCCCGGGACGCCCUGGCUGCCACCACCUUUACCUUCAGCCUCGUCCUCGCCUUCAUCUUCGCCUUCGACGUCUUCGUCACCUACCGCACGCGGGUGGGGCCCGCGCUGGGACAGGACCCCGACAUGGAGGAGACCUGAAGGCCACCCCCCUUCAUCCCCUGGUGUCCCAUCGUCCCCUGGUGUCCCAUCGUCCCCUGGUGUCCCGCCCCGACCCCCCCUCCCACCUCACAACCCUCCCCCCCAAACAAAACCCCCCCAAAUGAAACCUCU